CCGCGCUAUCCGGGGAGUCAGCGGUGCCCUGUAGCCCGCAAUCCGCUAUAGCGGGGGUGAAUUCCGCCCCGAGGACUCGCGCUGUGCCGUCCGCCCCGCGAAGGAGGCGUUGAAAGGCCGGUCUCGCGCAACCGAAGCUCGUGAACUAUGUCAGGCGGGGAACCGAGCAGCAUUAAGCGAUAACUUUGGUGUGCCGCGAGCGCUCCGGCCCGGAGCCACACCGCGCGGGUAACGGGUGUAUCGCGUUUUCAGAGGGCGGUGCGCGG
rnacentral:SRP_RNA from 1 species